CGCCCAGGGUAGCGAGAUGGUAACUUGCAAGUCCGAGUUCUACCAUGAUGAGUUUAAAAGAAUCUACCUGCUUUUCUUCAGUUUCCAGAGUGCUCAGGUAGUUGUAGUUUGUCCAGAGUUUACGGCUGACACUUGGAGCAACUGAGGAGCCAUUUGUUAAGAGUUACUUCUGCCAUACUGGAAGCAGACGCCUCACUACAGCUCUCUUUUUCUUUCCUCCUC
rnacentral:lncRNA from 10 species